rnacentral:rRNA from 1 species
GUCGAGGGGUAUUAGUCUUCGGACUAAGAGACCGGCGCACGGGUGCGUAACGCGUAUGCAAUCUACCUUUCACAGAGGGAUAGCCCAGAGAAAUUUGGAUUAAUACCUCAUAGUAUAUAGACCUGGCAUCAGGAUUAUAUUAAAGUCACAACGGUGAAAGAUGAGCAUGCGUCCCAUUAGCUAGUUGGUAAGGUAACGGCUUACCAAGGCUACGAUGGGUAGGGGUCCUGAGAGGGAGAUCCCCCACACUGGUACUGAGACACGGACCAGACUCCUACGGGAGGCAGCAGUGAGGAAUAUUGGACAAUGGGCGCAAGCCUGAUCCAGCCAUGCCGCGUGCAGGAUGACGGUCCUAUGGAUUGUAAACUGCUUUUAUACAGGAAGAAACACUCCCUCGUGAGGGAGCUUGACGGUACUGUAAGAAUAAGGAUCGGCUAACUCCGUGCCAGCAGCCGCGGUAAUACGGAGGAUCCAAGCGUUAUCCGGAAUCAUUGGGUUUAAAGGGUCCGUAGGCGGUUUGGUAAGUCAGUGGUGAAAGCCCAUCGCUCAACGGUGGAACGGCCAUUGAUACUGCCAGACUUGAAUUAUUAGGAAGUAACUAGAAUAUGUAGUGUAGCGGUGAAAUGCUUAGAGAUUACAUGGAAUACCAAUUGCGAAGGCAGGUUACUACUAAUGGAUUGACGCUGAUGGACGAAAGCGUGGGUAGCGAACAGGAUUAGAUACCCUGGUAGU